UUCCUGCUCCCCAAUUCCUGCCCCCCAUUUCUGCCCCCCAUUUCUGCCCCAGCUCUGCCUCAAGGCCCUUCGGGUGCUGCCGCAGCCGCCCCCCCCCGGGGGGGUCCCCGAGUGCCGCCUGAGGGUGACACUGACCCCACUGCGCCUUCACAUCGACCAGGAUGCGCUGAUCUUCCUCAGGGAUUUCGCCGCCGCCUUCCUCGCCCACCUGAGCCCCCCCCCGGGACCCCCCCCGGGACCCCCGCCCGGUACCGGGGGUGGGGGGAGGGGCUCCGGGGGGGGAGGGGCUCCAGGGGGGGGAGGGGCUCCCGGCUUUGGGGGUCCCCUCACUGUUCCCCUCCCCCCCCCUCCUCCUGCAGCCCCCCCCGGGAUCGGGGACCCCCCCCGGCCGGAGCCGCCCCCGGAGCGGGACCCCCAAACGGAGACACCCCCGAUCUACUUCCGGUGGGACUGGGGGCACUGGGGGGCACUGGGGGGGACUGGGGGGGACUGGGGGGGGCUGGGAGGGACUGGGGGGCACUGGGGGGGACUGGGGGGGGCUGGGGGGGACUGGGAGGGGACUGGGAGGGGCUGGGGGGAACUGGGGGGGACUGGGGGGGACUGGGAGGGACUGGGGGGGACUGGGGGGGACUGGGGGGGGCUGGACUGUCCCAGGCUGACGGUGCUGUCCCCGUCCCUGUCCUGUCCCCUCUGUCCCCAGCGAGUUCCGUUUCAUGGCCGAUGUCCCCGUCUGGUUGGAUUACCGCGGCAAGCGCGUCACCAUGGAGCAGGUGAGGGGUGGCAGGGGGUGACAACAGUGACAGGGGGUGACAGGGGCACACAGCCCCGCGGCCGUGUCCCGGUGCCACCAUUCCCCAAUGACCCCGCGCUGUCCCCUCUCUGUGACCCCCCUGUGUCCCUCAUUGUCCCCUCCUGUCCCCCCCUGUCCCCCCCUGUCCCAGGGCGCCCUGGCCGGGAUCCUGAUCGGACUGGCGCGGCUGAACUGCUCCGAACUGCGGCUGAAACGGCUCUGCCACCGCCAGGGGCUGCUGGGGCUGGGCCGGGUCGUGUCCUACGCCGUGUCCGAGUGGCUCCGGGACAUUCGGUGUCACCAACUGCCGGGGCUGCUGGGGGGGGUGGCACCAGUGCACGCGGUGCUGCAGCUCUGGCGCGCUCUCCGGGAUCUGCUGCUGCUGCCGCUGCCGGGGGGGGGUCCCGGGGGUGUCACCCACAGUGUCACCCGUGGGGUGUCGGCUCUGGGCGCCGCCUCGGCCAGCGCCGCUCUGGGGCUGUGCACGCGGCUGCUGCGGGCGCUGCAGGCUUUGGCCGAGGCCCUUUUCGGACUCGUGACCCCCCCGGAACCCCCCCGGCCCCGGCGGCUCCCAGUACGGACCAGUAUGGACCAGUUUGGGUCUGGGGGGUCCCAGUUUGGGUUUGGGGGUCCCAGUUUGGGUCGGGGGGGUCCCAGUUUGGGUCGGGGGGGUCCCAGUUUGGGUCAGGGGGUCCCAGUUCGGGGUCUGGGGGUCCCAGUUUGGGUCAGGGGGUCCCAGUUUGGGUCAGGGGGUCCCAGUUUGGGGUUUGGGGUCCCAGUUUGGGGUUUGGGGUCCCAGUUUGGGUCUGGGGGUCCCAGUUUGGGUCAGGGGGUCCCAGUAUGGCCCAGUUUGGGGUCGGGGGGGUCCCAGUUCACCCUGGGGGUGCUGGGGGGGUGCUUGUGCCUCCCAGUCCAUCCCAGUCCCUCCCAGUCCAUCCCAGUCCCUCCCAGUUUAUCCCAGUCCAUCCCAGUCCCCCCCAGUCCAUCCCAGUCCAUCCCAGUUCCCCCCCUCUCUCCCCAGCGCCUCCCCGGCUCCAGGACCGGCCCCGCCCCCACCGAGGGACUGGGGGGGCCUCGGCCGCGACCCCCCCCCCAAUAAACUGGGAGACACUGCUUUUACUGGUUUUACUGGUUUUACUGGUUCUUACUGGUUUUACUGGUUCUUACUGGGACUGGGAGCUGGGACUGGGGCUGGUUUUACUGGGACUGGGACUGGUUUUUACUGGUUUUACUGGACUGGGCCUUACUGGUCCUCACUGGUUUUUACUGGUUUUACUGGACUGGGCCUUACUGGUUUUUACUGGUUUUACUGGGACUGGGACUGGUUUUUACUGGUUUUUACUGGACUGGGCCUCACUGGUUUUUACUGGGACUGGUUUUUACUGGGACUGGGAGCUGGGACUGGGACUGGGACUGGUUUUACUGGGACUGGGACUAGUUUUUACUGGUUUUACUGGACUGGGCCUUACUGGUCCUCACUGGUUUUUACUGGUUUUACUGGGACUGGGACUGGUUUUUACUGGUUUUUACUGA
ensembl:lncRNA